rnacentral:rRNA from 1 species
UCUUGGUCAUUNAGAGGAAGUAAAAGUCGUAACAAGGUUUCCGUAGGUGAACCUGCGGAAGGAUCAUUAUCGUAACAAAAUGUGUUGAGGCAUGCAAGGGCUGUCGCUGACAAAAAGUCGUGCACGCCAGGGUGUGUCCUCUCACAUAAAAUCCAUCUCACCCUUUUGUGCACCACCGCGUGGGCACCCUUCGGGAUCGAACAGAUCCAGGAGGGGGGCUUGCGUUUUCACACAAACCCCUUUUUAAAAGUGUAGAAUGACCCCACUUUUGCGAUAACACGCAAUCAAUACAACUUUCAACAACGGAUCUCUUGGCUCUCGCAUCGAUGAAGAACGCAGCGAAAUGCGAUACGUAAUGUGAAUUGCAGAAUUCAGUGAAUCAUCGAAUCUUUGAACGCACCUUGCGCCCCUUGGUAUUCCGAGGGGCACACCCGUUUGAGUGUCGUGAAAAUCUCAACCUUCUCGGUUUCUUCUGAACACCGAAGGAGGCUUGGACUUUGGAGGCCUUUGCUGGCGUCUCUCGCCAGCUCCUCUCAAAUGAAUUAGCGGGGUCCUCUUUGCCGAUCCUCGACAUGUGAUAAGAUGUUUCCAUGUCUUGGCUUUAUGGCUCUGUUGCCUUUGGGACCCGCUUCUAACCGUCUCAGCGAGACAACGUUCGAGCGUGUCUCCCCUCUCGGGGAAACGCUCUUGAACCCACGAAACCUUGACCUCAAAUCGGGUGAGGCUACCCGCUGAACUUAAGCAUAUCAAUNNAGCGGAGGAA